UACGAAGGGGGCUAGCGUUGCUCGGAAUCACUGGGCGUAAAGCGCACGUAGGCGGCUUUCUAAGUCAGGGGUGAAAUCCUGGAGCUCAACUCCAGAACUGCCUUUGAUACUGGAGAGCUUGAGUCCGGGAGAGGUGAGUGGAACUCCGAGUGUAGAGGUGAAAUUCGUAGAUAUUCGGAAGAACACCAGUGGCGAAGGCGGCUCACUGGCCCGGUACUGACGCUGAGGCACGAAAGCGUGGGGAGCAAACAGG
rnacentral:rRNA from 1 species